rnacentral:lncRNA from 1 species
GAGUUUGUUAUGGAGAGUGGAGUGGUGUCCAUUGUCGUGACUUGUCAGAGACAGGUGGGGCCGCAUGGAAUCUGUUACAGAGAGUGGAGUGGGGUAGUGGCCAUUGUCGCGAUUUGCCAGAGAGUUCGGACCUGAUGGCUGAAGCUCGGCUUGGAUGUCUGAUGGAGAGGAAUGGCUCUCUGUCUCUACAAUCUAAGAGA